UGGGGAAUUUUGGACAAUGGGGGAAACCCUGAUCCAGCCAUCCCGCGUGUGCGAUGAAGGCCUUCGGGUUGUAAAGCACUUUUGGCAGGAAAGAAACGUCGCGGGUUAAACCGCCGAAACUGACGGUACCUGCAGAAUAAGCACCGGCUAACUACGUGCCAGCAGCCGCGGUAAUACGUAGGGUGCAAGCGUUAAUCGGAAUUACUGGGCGUAAAGCGUGCGCAGGCGGUUCGGAAAGAAAGAUGUGAAAUCCCAGAGCUUAACUUUGGAACUGCAUUUUUAACUACCGGGCUAGAGUGUGUCAGAGGGAGGUGGAAUUCCGCGUGUAGCAGUGAAAUGCGUAGAUAUGCGGAGGAACACCGAUGGCGAAGGUAGCCUCCUGGGAUAACACUGACGCUCAUGCACGAAAGCGUGGGGAGCAAACAGGAUUAGAUACCCUGGUAGUCCACGCCCUAAACGAUGUCAACUAGCUGUUGGGGCCUUCGGGCCUUGGUAGCGCAGCUAACGCGUGAAGUUGACCGCCUGGGGAGUACGGUCGCAAGAUUAAAACUCAAAUGAAUUGAC
rnacentral:rRNA from 1 species